GAUGAACGCUGGCGGCGUGCCUAAUACAUGCAAGUCGAGCGAAUGGAUUGAGAGCUUGCUCUUAUGAAGUUAGCGGCGGACGGGUGAGUAACACGUGGGUAACCUGCCCAUAAGACUGGGAUAACUCCGGGAAACCGGGGCUAAUACCGGAUAACAUUUUGAACCGCAUGGUUCGAAAUUGAAAGGCGGCUUCGGCUGUCACUUAUGGAUGGACCCGCGUCGCAUUAGCUAGUUGGUGAGGUAACGGCUCACCAAGGCAACGAUGCGUAGCCGACCUGAGAGGGUGAUCGGCCACACUGGGACUGAGACACGGCCCAGACUCCUACGGGGGGCAGCAGUAGGGAAUCUUCCGCAAUGGACGAAAGUCUGACGGAGCAACGCCGCGUGAGUGAUGAAGGCUUUCGGGUCGUAAAACUCUGUUGUUAGGGAAGAACAAGUGCUAGUUGAAUAAGCUGGCACCUUGACGGUACCUAACCAGAAAGCCACGGCUAACUACGUGCCAGCCGCCGCCGCGG
rnacentral:rRNA from 1 species